GAUGAAGAACGUAGCGAAAUGCGAUAAGUAAUGUGAAUUGCAGAGUUCAGAGAAUCAUCGAAUCUUUGAACGCACAUUGCGCCCGUCAGUAUUCUGACGGGCAUGCCUGUCCGAGCGUCAUUUCAACCCUCAAGCACUGCUUGGCGUUGGCGGAUUGCGUGCCCUCGCGGCGCUGCAACCGCCCAAAUACAGUGGCGGUCCCGCUGCGGCUCCCUUUGCGUAGUAACUCACCUCGCACUGGACCGGGCGGCGGCCUGCCGUAAAACCCCAACUCACGAAAUGUUGACCUCGGAUCAGGUAGGAAUACCCGCUGAACUUAAGCAUAUCAAUAAGCGGAGGA
rnacentral:misc_RNA from 1 species